rnacentral:rRNA from 1 species
UACGUAGGGGGCUAGCGUUGUCCGGAUUUAUUGGGCGUAAAGAGCUCGUAGGCGGUUCGGUAAGUCGGGUGUGAAACCUCCAGGCUCAACCUGGAGACGCCACCCGAUACUGCUGUGACUCGAGUCCGGUAGGGGAGCGUGGAAUUCCUGGUGUAGCGGUGAAAUGCGCAGAUAUCAGGAGGAACACCAGCGGCGAAGGCGGCGCUCUGGGCCGGUACUGACGCUGAGGAGCGAAAGCGUGGGUAGCAAACAGG